rnacentral:rRNA from 1 species
GUAUCAUGGCUCAGGAUGAACGCUGGCGGCGUGCUUAACACAUGCAAGUCGAACGGACUUGGAUGUCGGAAGUUUUCGGAUGGAAGAUAUCCAAGUUAGUGGCGGACGGGUGAGUAACGCGUGGGUAACCUGCCCUGUACCGGGGGAUAACACUUAGGAAAUAGGUGCUAAUACCGCAUAAGUGCACAGAGUCACAUGACUUGGUGUAAAAAACUCCGGUGGUACAGGAUGGACCCGCGUCUGAUUAGCUUUG